rnacentral:misc_RNA from 1 species
UCUCCGUAGGUGAACCUGCGGAGGGAUCAUUACUGAGUGAGGGCCUUCGGGCUCGACCUCCAACCCUUUGUGAACACAACUUGUUGCUUCGGGGGCGACCCUGCCGUUUCGACGGCGAGCGCCCCCGGAGGCCUUCAAACACUGCGUCAAUUUGUGUCGGAGUACUUGUUAAUGAACAAAACUUUCAACAACGGAUCUCUUGGUUCUGGCAUCGAUGAAGAACGCAGC